GAUGAACGCUGGCGGCGUGCCUAAUACAUGCAAGUCGAACGAGAUCUUCGGAUCUAGUGGCGGACGGGUGAGUAACACGUUGGUACCUGCCCCGAAGUGGGGAAUAACUGGCCGAAAGGUCGGCUAAUACCGCAUAAUACCGCAAGGUUAAAGCAGUAAUGCGCUUCGGGAGGGGCCUGCGUCCCAUUAGCUUGUUGGUAGUGUAAUGGACUACCAAGGCGACGAUGGGUAGCUGGUUCGAGAGGAUGACCAGCCACACUGGGACUGAGAUACGGCCCAGACUCCUACGGGAGGCAGCAGUAAGGAAUCUUCCACAAUGGACGAAAGUCUGAUGGAGCAACGCCGCGUGCAGGAUGACAGCCUUCGGGUU
rnacentral:rRNA from 1 species